UUUAUAUUUAAUUAGGUAGUAUAAACAAUAAAAACCCAUGUUUUAUGGUAGUCUUUAUAUUUUAGAGAAACUUGCUUUAUAAUCGAUAAUACACGAUAAUUUUUACUUAAUUCUAAUAAUAAUAAUUUAUAUACCGCCAUAAUCUAAUCUUAUUAUAAAAUUUAAGCUUAAUAUUUACUUUACUACUAAAAAUUAGGUCAAGGUGUAAUUCAUAAUUAAGAAAAAGUUAGUUACAUUAAAAACAAUUUAAGGAAAGUAAUCAAAAGAUAAUCAUGAAAAAGAAUUUAACUGUACAUUUAAAUUAAAAUUUACAAUAGAAUAUAAAUAUAUAGAUGC
rnacentral:rRNA from 1 species